GCAAACUUGGUCAUUUAGAGGAAGUAAAAGUCGUAACAAGGUCUCCGUUGGUGAACCAGCGGAGGGAUCAUUAAAGAGUUGUAAGAAAAACUCCCUAAACCACCUGUGAAUUUACCUGUUUUCGUUGCUUCGGCAGGCGGCCCCAGGGCGGGGCCAUGGCCUGUAAAGGUGCCUGCCGGAGGGUACAAAAGCCCUAUUUGUUUUAGCAGCCGUCUGAGUCAGAAAAAAAAAUAAGUCAAAACUUUCAACAACGGAUCUCUUGGUUCUGGCAUCGAUGAAGAACGCAGC
rnacentral:misc_RNA from 1 species